rnacentral:lncRNA from 1 species
CGGAGAUCGACGCGGGGAGGCUGUGGAAGGGCACACCUGCACCGGCCAUCGCAGUCGAGUACUGGGGACUGCCGCGUGGCGCGACGAUGCGAGGUGAGUCGGUGGUGAGGGGGAGAGCGCGAUAAGGGGAGUGGGUAGAAGAAGAGAGAGGUAAGGGGUUGGGAGAACCUGAGAAAGGCCCGGGCGUUUUUAACUGACGCCGCAGGGGAGGAUGGGAGCAGGGUAUGGGACACAAAGAGUAUGGACGGAAAACGCGUUUCCUAUUUGGCAACCCAGAGGGGCUGGCUUCCAUUUUACUAGUAAUAGCGGUGAUGUUGUUCAGUUAUUUGAACUUGGAAACUGACCUCGUUUCUAGAUAUAUAUACUCUCUUUUUUAACUCGGUGAAACCCGGAAAUGUGUAUGGUUCCCUAUCGCGGUCGCCCACGGCUACUGCUGCUGCUGCUGCUGCUGCUGCUGCUGACCGCCGCCCGCCUGACAACGACGUCAUUGCAGAUCUGGUCUUGGCGGUGCGCGCGGACGAGGCCUGCCAUGCGCACGUGAACCAUACCUUUAGCAAGCUGACUCCUGGCCAGACCAACCCCUUUGCAGUUGGCGUUAGCCAGUUGCCUUGAGCUUUUUGAGCAGCCGGAAGAUCCAUCGAGCAAUUAAUAACAUCGUACUAGGAGGAGAUGCCAACGUGAUGACAAGACUUGAGGGAGUGCAGGGGCGAGGCCUCGUCUCCAAGGAUGAAUUGCCUGUCGCAUACACGAUAAGCCGCUCUCCUGGCCGCAUCGUGGCGUUUCUAGCAGGUUCCAGCUUUUGAUUGUUGCGAUAUCUGUCACCGUCACUGUUCUAGUUAAACUCCUUGUCCACCAACGUUGCCUGUGUGUUCUGUGAUGUGUCUUCUGUGUGAUAAAAGAGGAAUGAUUUUUUAUGGAAGUAAUGUUAGCACGCAGGGUCUCGUCUGUGUUGUCGCAUAUUUGCUUCGAUUGUUUCCGCGGUGUUGUCCUUUGUCCGCAUUCCGCCUAUGCUAGUCCGUCAUCAUAGUAAUGAGCGGAAAGCUGCGACAUGUUUUUUUGUUAAAUGCUGCAUAAAGGUAGUGUUCGAGUUCGUGAAAGAAGUCGUGCAUGAUGAGAGUGCCCCAGACAAUUUUUUAGGAGUUUGAAUGCUCGGACUACGAUGUUUGGGCACGAUAGGUUGCUGCGGACUAGAGAGGCACGCAAAGAGGAAGAAGAGGGAAAGAUGAAUUCUUUCGGGUCCAAUUGCGCAACGUACAUUCUGGUCUUCUAGGGUACCAAACUUUCGGAAUUGCUGUGUUUUAUCGUAAGAUAGUCAGCUUCUACAAAUGAUUGGGCCCCAGGUGGCCGCGGUUCUAUCGUGAACUCAGCAAUACCUAUACCUAGGUGCCGUGCGGACAAGUGAAGAUAUUCCGAUAGUGCGAUGUAACUAAUAC